rnacentral:rRNA from 1 species
UACGUAGGGUGCGAGCGUUAAUCGGAAUUACUGGGCGUAAAGCGUGCGCAGGCGGUUCGUUAAGUCAGAUGUGAAAGCCCCGGGCUCAACCUGGGAACUGCAUUUGAAACUGGCGGGCUUGAGUAUGGCAGAGGGGGGUGGAAUUCCGCGUGUAGCAGUGAAAUGCGUAGAGAUGCGGAGGAACACCGAUGGCGAAGGCAGCCCCCUGGGCCAAUACUGACGCUGAGGAGCGAAAGCGUGGGGAGCGAACAGG